CUGGUGCCAGCAGCCGCGGUAAUUCCAGCUCCAAUAGCGUAUAUUAUUAUUCUUGCGGUUAAAAAGCUCGUAGUUGGAUCUCGGUUUCGGGCGAGCGGUGUACCUUGCGGUAUUUACUGUUUGCCCGGACGAUUUUGUUGGUUCGUUUAUGGUUCUCUUAACCGAGUGCCAUAAGUGGCCAGCACGUUUACUUUGAAAAAAUUGGAGUGCUCAAAGCAGGCGCUACAGCCUGAACAUUAGUGCAUGGAAUAAUGGAAUAGGAUCUCGGUUCUAUUUCGUUGGCUUUCGGAGUCGAGGUAAUGAUUAAUAGGGACAGACGGGGGCAUUCGUACUGCGACGUUAGAGGUGAAAUUCUUGGAUCGUCGCAAGACGAACUACUGCGAAAGCAUUUGCCAAGAAUGUUUUCAUUAAUCAAGAACGAAAGUUAGAGGUUCGAAGGCGAUCAGAUACCGCCCUAGUUCUAACCAUAAACGAUGUCGACCGGCGAUCCGUUAUCGUUAACUGAAUGACUUAACGGGCAGCCUCCGGGAAACCAGAGUGUUUGGAUUCCGGGGGAAGUAUGGUUGCAAAGCUGAAACUUAAAAGAAUUGACGGAAGGGCACCACCAGGAGUGGAGCCUGCGGCUUAAUUUGACUCAACACGGGAAAUCUCACCAGGCCCGGACACCGGAAGGAUUGACAGAUUGAGAGCUCUUUCUUGAUUCGAUGGGUGGUGGUGCAUGGCCGUUCUUAGUUGGUGGAGCGAUUUGUCUGGUUAAUUCCGAUAACGAACGAGACUCUGGCCUACUAACUAGACGUUAGAUCCCUUUGUGGGUCUAUCGCAGCUUCUUAGAGGGACGGGCGGCGUUUAGCCGCACGAGAUUGAGCAAUAACAGGUCUGUGAUGCCCUUAGAUGUUCUGGGCUGCACGCGCGCUACACUGAAGGAAUCAGCGUGUGUUCCCUACCCGAAAGGGUUGGGAAACCCGUUGAACCUCCUUCGUGAUGGGGAUUGGGGAUUGCAAUUAUUCCCCAUGAACGAGGAAUUCCCAGUAGGCGCGAGUCAUAAGCUUGCGUCGAUUACGUCCCUGCCCUUUGUACACACCGCCCGUCGCUACUACCGAUCGAGUGAUUUAGUGAGGCCUUCGGACUGGUCUUCAGUAUGGCUUUCGGGUCGUGUUGGAGUACCGGAAAGAUGACCAAACUUGAUCACUUAGAGGAAGUAAAAGUCGUAACAUGUUUCCGUAGGUGAACCUGCGGAAG
rnacentral:rRNA from 1 species